UACAGAGGGUGCGAGCGUUGUCCGGAAUCAUUGGGCGUAAAGGGCGCGUAGGCGGCCCGGUAAGUCAAAGGUGAAAUCCCUCGGCUCAACUGAGGAACUGCCUUUGAAACUGUCGGGCUUGAGGCCGGGAGGGGGUGGCGGAAUUCCCAGUGUAGCAGUGAAAUGCGUAGAUAUCUGGAGGAACACCGGUGGCGAAGGCGGCAUCCUGGACCGAUACUGACGCUGAGGAGCGAAAGCCAGGGGAGCAAACGGG
rnacentral:rRNA from 1 species